rnacentral:rRNA from 1 species
CUAUCAUAUGGAUUCCUACGGGAGGCAGCAGUGGGGAAUUUUCCGCAGGGCGAAAGCCUGACGGAGCAAUACCGCGUGAGGGAGGAAGGCUCUUGGGUUGUAAACCUCUUUUCUCAAGGAAUAAGAAAGUGAAGGUACUUGAGGAAUCAGCAUCGGCUAACUCCGUGCCAGCAGCCGCGGUAAUACGGAGGAUGCAAGCGUUAUCCGGAAUGAUUGGGCGUAAAGCGUCCGCAGGUGGCAUUGAAAGUCUGCUGUUAAAGAGUGAGGCUUAACCUCAUAAAAGCAGUGGAAACUCAAAGCUAGAGUGCGUUCGGGGCAGAAGGAAUUCCUGGUGUAGCGGUGAAAUGCGUAGAGAUCAGGAAGAACACCGGUGGCGAAGGCGUUCUGCUAGGCCGCAACUGACACUGAGGGACGAAAGCUAGGGGAGCGAAUGGGAUUAGAUACCCCAGUAGUCCUAGCCGUAAACGAUGGAUACUAGGCGUUGCGAGUAUCGACCCUCGCAGUGCCGGAGCCAACGCGUUAAGUAUCCCGCCUGGGGAGUACGCACGCAAGUGUGAAACUCAAAGGAAUUGACGGGGGCCCGCACAAGCGGUGGAGUAUGUGGUUUAAUUCGAUGCAACGCGAAGAACCUUACCAAGACUUGACAUGUCGCGAACUUUUCUGAAAGGAAGAGGUGCCUUCGGGAGCGCGAACACAGGUGGUGCAUGGCUGUCGUCAGCUCGUGUCGUGAGAUGUUGGGUUAAGUCCCGCAACGAGCGCAACCCUCUUUUUAGUUGCCAGCAUUAAGUUGGGCACUCUAGAGAGACUGCCGGUGACAAACCGGAGGAAGGUGGGGAUGACGUCAAGUCAGCAUGCCCCUUACGUCUUGGGCUACACACGUACUACAAUGGCCGGUACAAAGCGCAGCAAACUCGCGAGAGGGAGCCAAUCGCAAAAAGCCGGUCUCAGUUCGGAUUGUAGUCUGCAACUCGACUGCAUGAAGUUGGAAUCGCUAGUAAUCGCAGAUUAGCACGCUGCGGUGAAUACGUUCCCGGGCCUUGUACACACCGCCAUCGGAUCCCCGG